rnacentral:ncRNA from 1 species
UUAACUAUGUUGAUGGAGAUACACUUUGUGCAAGGAAAUCUCAAGAGAACUGAUGGUCGGUGAGAAUCAGUGGUUUCGGCAUUUAGUAGCACUCCUGAAUAGAUGGAUUGAACCAAUUAGUAAGUCCAUCCGAUUCGUGCCCGUUACGCAUGUGAACCAAUGAGACUGUCUGUUUUGACAGUGAAUUAGGGUGGUACCGCGAACAAGAGACUCUUCGCCCCUUAC